AUUGAACGCUGGCGGCAGGCCUAACACAUGCAAGUCGAGCGGAUGAGAGGAGCUUGCUCCUUGAUUUAGCGGCGGACGGGUGAGUAAUGCCUAGGAAUCUGCCUGGUAGUGGGGGAUAACGUCCGGAAACGGGCGCUAAUACCGCAUACGUCCUACGGGAGAAAGCAGGGGACCUUCGGGCCUUGCGCUAUCAGAUGAGCCUAGGUCGGAUUAGCUAGUUGGUGAGGUAAUGGCUCACCAAGGCUACGAUCCGUAACUGGUCUGAGAGGAUGAUCAGUCACAAUGGAACUGAGACACGGUCCAGACUCCUACGGGAGGCAGCAGUGGGGAAUAUUGGACAAUGGGCGAAAGCCUGAUCCAGCCAUGCCGCGUGUGUGAAGAAGGUCUUCGGAUUGUAAAGCACUUUAAGUUGGGAGGAAGGGCAGUAAAUUAAUACUUUGCUGUUUUGACGUUACCGACAGAAUAAGCACCGGCUAACUUCGUGCCAGCCGCCGCGGUAA
rnacentral:rRNA from 1 species